rnacentral:rRNA from 1 species
GACGAACGCUGGCGGCGUGCCUAAUACAUGCAAGUUGAGCGCUGAAGGCUGGUGCUUGUACCAACUGGAUGAGCAGCGAACGGGUGAGUAACGCGUGGGGAAUCUGCCUUUGAGCGGGGGACAACAUUUGGAAACGAAUGCUAAUACCGCAUAAAAACUUUAAACACAAGUUUUAAGUUUGAAAGAUGCAAUUGCAUCACUCAAAGAUGAUCCCGCGUUGUAUUAGCUAGUUGGUGAGGUAAAGGCUCACCAAGGCGAUGAUACAUAGCCGACCUGAGAGGGUGAUCGGCCACAUUGGGACUGAGACACGGCCCAAACUCCUACGGGAGGCAGCAGUAGGGAAUCUUCGGCAAUGGACGAAAGUCUGACCGAGCAAAGCCGCGUGAGUGAAGAAGGUUUUCGGAUCGGAAAACUCUGUUGGUAGAGAAGAACGUUGGUGAGAGUGGAAAGCGCAUCAAGUGACGGUAACUACCCAGAAAGGGACGGCUAACUACGUG